AACGCAACUUGCACUCUGUUCUGCAGAGUAUGCCUGUUUGAGAAUCUAACUGUUAUUCAACUGUGAGUUGAGAGCUGGGCAAAGCAUAGACUUGCCUGAAAAGCAGAAGGCUGUGUAAUGGGGAACGACGCCUAGACCACAGAGAGAUGAAGGGUUCGCCCACUUCCUCUGGGGCCAAGCGUCCUAUUACUGGGCCCAAACUUGAACCUUGGUCUCAAAUCAGGUAGGAAGACCCGCUGAACUUAA
rnacentral:misc_RNA from 1 species